GCAGACCUGUCUGAGGGAGCUCCUGACGGAGGAACCGCUGGAGCCCCGGGCAGCUGCCUGGACUGGCCGGAGAGCACCCUACCCCGCUACUGGGAAGACCUGCCGGAGCUUCCCCGCGCCACGUACGACGAGGAGCCAGUAGGAGCUUCCCCGCUACCGUGCUGUUACCUCGAGGAACCCCCGGAGCACGAUUGGACGGACUUCCCCGGGGAACUACCCGAUCUACCCCCCAGCCCGGGUUGUGAGGAACCCAUGCAGUGGGACUUCCCAGGACCAGACGCCGUGGACCAGGAAAUGAACAGCAGGCCAGAGUGGGAGCUGGUUAAUGCUGAAGCUGGCUCUCAAGGCAGAGACUGCGGCUGAGCAGUGGCUAGUAAGGACAUGACAGUUGAUAAUGAAAUGUGAUUCUAGCUGGGCAUUUCUCAUUUGCUGCAGUUGAACGAUUACAGCUGCCGUCCUGGGACAGCCUGAAACAGCCGUUGCACUGGAGAGGAUCCGCUGUAAAGAGGCGAGAAAACGGAGAGUAGGCAACGAGCAGCCAUGGAUCGGCCACCCUCAGUGCACAGGCGCGUUCCCAGUCUCCAGGAACCGUC